AUUGAACGCUGGCGGCAUGCUUUACACAUGCAAGUCGAACGGCAGCGGGGAGGAGCUUGCUUCUCUGCCGGCGAGUGGCGAACGGGUGAGUAAUACAUCGGAACGUGUCGAGAAGAGGGGGAUAACCACCCGAAAGGGUGGCUAAUACCGCAUAAAUUCUGAGGAAGAAAGCUGGGGACCUAGGAAUAGGCCUAGCGCUUUUUGAGCGGCCGAUGUCGGAUUAGCUAGUUGGUGAGGUAAAGGCUCACCAAGGCGAAGAUCUGUAGCGGGUCUGAGAGGAUGAUCCGCCACACUGGGACUGAGACACGGCCCAGACUCCUACGGGAGGCAGCAGUGGGGAAUUCUGGACAAUGGGGGCAACCCUGAUCCAGCCAUGCCGCGUGUAUGAAGAAGGCCUUAGGGUUGUAAAGUACUUUUGUUAGGGAAGAAAAGUCAGCUGUGAAUAAUGGCUGAUACUGACGGUACCUAAAGAAUAAGCACCGGCUAACUACGUG
rnacentral:rRNA from 1 species